CAAAUCACAAAACAACAGUCUCAGUUCAGAUUGUAGGCUGAAACUCGCCUAUAUGAAGUCGGAAUUGCUAGUAAUCGCGGAUCAGCAUGCCGCGGUGAAUACGUUCCCGGGCCUUGUACACACCGCCCGUCACACCAUGAGAGUCGAUAACACCCGAAGCCUGUAGUCUAACCUUAGGGGGGACGCAGUCGAAGGUGGGAUUGAUAAUUAGGGUGAAGUCGUAACAAGGUAGC
rnacentral:rRNA from 1 species